UACGUCGCAGUAAAAGUGUAGCUGAAUGAUCCGUGUAGUGAAAAGUGGCGAGAGAAUUGUGGGGACCGGCGGACAGAAAGAUGUCACUUCCUGUCCUGAUGAACAACACAGCAGUCUUCAAAAACUUUUUCCCUCAGGUUUCUCUCCAGCUCUCAGUCUCUCCCGCCCAACAGUUUUUAAGAAGCCGAAAAAAGAAACAUUAACACAAAUCUAAAAAAAACACAGGACAACCAAAAUCAUCCAUUCGCCAUCAGUAGGUGGUGUUUUUCCCAAAACAGAAUUAAUAAAAAAAAAAAAA